CAAACCCCACAAUCAAACACCCCUAGGAAAAGGAUCUGGGCCAGGAGGAAGACAAGGAGGGAGCCAUGUGGUUUGGAGGCUGGGUGCGGUUUAGAAUGUUCCAGUUAAACGGUCCUUUGCGGCCAGAGGGACAGAUGAUGAGCCAGGCACCUGGACCCGCAGCAGAACAAGACCAUCAUGCCACCUGACUGCUCAAGUCCUUCCAGAGAGCAGGGCUGAAAAUCACUUGAGCCAGGCUCGUAUUGCUCCUGCAUCCCACAGGCUGAGUUCCAAGGGAAGUGGUCCUCUCCUGUCCUGAGUGGUCAUCUCUUGUCCUGAGUGGUCAUCUCCUGUCCUGAGUGGUCAUCUCCUGUCCUGCUCACCUGCUCUGUGACUAACUAAGAUGAAGGAGACUUCAUUGGUCAGUUCCCUGCUGAGUCUCAAAGCCAAGACAAGCAAUUACGGUGCAUAUUUAACAUAUCAAAGUGGACCUGGCUGCCAUGUUGUCCCAGCAUCCCUCAGUCCCUAUCUGUUAACAGGGUGUAGCUGGCAUACACUGCCCUCUACCCUGAACUCUUCAGCCCAGGCUCUGGGCUGCCCUUCCCCCGAGAGGCUCUUCCCUACAUAAUCCAGCUAUUUUGGUACCUGCCCCUUUUGUAUCUGUGGCCUCUUAGAUGCUGUUCCUGUUCCUCUCUCACCUCCCCCACCCCAGCCUCUUCCUUUCUCCUUACAAGGUUCAGGGCCAUGAUCCCUCCCAGAUGUGUCUGCCUCUGGCAAUGCUCUCUCUUUAUCUACAAUAAACUUUCUCCUCUGCCAUAUCUGGGAACAGUCAGUCAUGUCCUUUCCCUUUUUCUUUCUCUCUCUCUUUCUCUUUUCUUUCCUUUUCCUUUUUUCUUUUUUCAUGUGUUACCUUCUUGGGUUUGAUGUCAGGUUUGAAUUGACCCAGAGGGGGGCUGUGAGUCUCAGCUUCUUUUGCAUCUCUUAGGUACAACGAACCUGAAAGAGCUCACUGUUGUAGAGGAAUGUGUCACCCAUUUCCUUGAUGUACUGAGGGGUAAACUGAAGUGCAAACCUCAGCUUGCUGUCAACUCUCAAACCCUGGCUCUUGGCUAAUAGUAUAGCAAGUUAUUGUGGGGUUUGUGAAACAUGAUGUGAGCACCGACUGGCUCACGCCAUCCGCCAAAUCAUCACUGGUCUUCCCAGGUUGGGAACCUCUAGAGGAGAGCUGUAUGGUCAUGGUUUAGAGGCAGCGCUGAGCUCUCUGUCCUGAGCUUCACAUGGUAUCCUGCCAGGAAGGAAGUGUUAAUGGCCCUGGGGUUCACUAAGACUGCAAAGCCAGGCCAUUUGCAUGUGAUGAGUGUGUACCUCCGCUGGGGCCUUAUCACCUGGUUCCAAGCUCAGUGCUCUUUACUCUGGACUAUGAUCCCCCUUUCCUGGAUGUCACAGCCCUUGUGGGAAGAAAAAGUGGGAAGCAGAAGGGUAAAGGCAGAAGCAGAAGGAACGAGAAGAGAGACUUGGGUUUCAGUGGACUGUCUUGAAUUAUCAGGAGAUUUCAAUAUCAGGAGACCUAGCCAGGUACAUCCAGGCCCAAUUAAGGGACUAUCCUACUCCUAAUAAACAUGGGCUCACAGGUUAUGAAGAAUCAAAGGGGGAAACAAGAAGGAUGGCUCAGCAGCUAAGCGCACUUGUUGCUCUUGCAGAGGGCCAGCACCCAUAUCAGAUGGCUCAUGGUAGCCUGUAACUAUAGCUCCUGGAGAUCUGACGCCAUCUUUUGACCUGUACAGGCACCCGUAUGCAUGUGCACAUACACUCACAGACACAUAAGCAUAAAUAAAAAUAUAUCUUUAAAAAAUCAAAAAGAGAAUAGUUGUUCUUUGGGGGGGGGUGUUGGUGGUAAUGAACCAUGUUUGUCACACACAAAUAUGUUAGCUUUGUUGCUGUAACAAACACCCGAGAUAUUCAGUUUGAAAAGAGUUAGAAGGUUGGUCUGCCUAGCAAGUUUAGAGUGUUCAGCCCCUGGCAAGGUGUCCCUGCUGCUUUGUGGCCUGUGUGAAAGUCACUCAUGGUGUAGGGGAGGGUUUGGUGAAGCUACCACUGCAG
rnacentral:lncRNA from 1 species